UACGUAGGGUGCAAGCGUUGUCCGGAAUUAUUGGGCGUAAAGAGCUCGUAGGCGGUUUGUUGCGUCGGCUGUGAAAUCCCGAGGCUCAACCUCGGGUCUGCAGUCGAUACGAGCAAACUAGAGUGUUGCAGGGGAGACUGGAAUUCCUGGUGUAGCGGUGAAAUGCGCAGAUAUUAGGAGGAACACCGGUGGCGAAGGCGCCGCUCUGGGCCGAAACUGACGCUGAGGAGCGAAAGCAUGGGUAGCAAACAGG
rnacentral:rRNA from 1 species